UACGUAGGUGGCAAGCGUUGUCCGGAUUUAUUGGGUUUAAAGGGUGCGUAGGCGGCUUUGUAAGUCAGUGGUGAAAUAUGGCAGCUCAACUGUCAGGGUGCCAUUGAUACUGCAGAGCUUGAGUACAGAUGAGGUAGGCGGAAUUGACGGUGUAGCGGUGAAAUGCUUAGAUAUCGUCAAGAACACCGAUAGCGAAGGCAGCUUACUGGGCUGUAACUGACGCUGAGGCACGAAAGUGUGGGGAGCGAACAGG
rnacentral:rRNA from 1 species